rnacentral:rRNA from 1 species
GACGAACGCUGGCGGCGUGCUUAACACAUGCAAGUCGAGCGGUAAGGCCCUUUCGGGGUACACGAGCGGCGAACGGGUGAGUAACACGUGGGUGACCUGCCCUCAGCUCUGGGAUAAGCCUGGGAAACCGGGUCUAAUACCGGNUAUGACUCCAUGACGCAUGUUGUGGGGUGAAAGCCUUGUGCGGCUGAGGAUGGGCCCNGGCC